rnacentral:rRNA from 1 species
UCAGAACGAACGCUGGCGGCAUGCCUAACACAUGCAAGUCGAACGCCCUCUUUUAGAGGGAGUGGCGCACGGGUGCGUAACGCGUGGGAACCUGCCCUUAGGUUCGGAAUAACUCAGAGAAAUUUGAGCUAAUACCGGAUAAUGUCUUCGGACCAAAGAUUUAUCGCCUUUGGAUGGGCCCGCGUAGGAUUAGAUAGUUGGUGGGGUAAUGGCCUACCAAGUCGACGAUCCUUAGCUGGUCUGAGAGGAUGAUCAGCCACACUGGGACUGAGACACGGCCCAGACUCCUACGGGAGGCAGCAGUGGGGAAUAUUGGACAAUGGGCGAAAGCCUGAUCCAGCAAUGCCGCGUGAGUGAUGAAGGCCUUAGGGUUGUAAAGCUCUUUUACCAGGGAUGAUAAUGACAGUACCUGGAGAAUAAGCUCCGGCUAACUCCGUGCCAGCAGCCGCGGUAAUACGGAGGGAGCUAGCGUUGUUCGGAAUUACUGGGCGUAAAGCGCACGUAGGCGGCUUUUCAAGUCAGGGGUGAAAUCCCGGGGCUCAACCCCGGAACUGCCCUUGAAACUGGAUGGCUAGAAUACUGGAGAGGUGAGUGGAAUUCCGAGUGUAGAGGUGAAAUUCGUAGAUAUUCGGAAGGAACACCAGUGGCGGAAGGGCGGAUCAUACACUAGA